AUUGAACGCUGGCGGCAUGCCUUACACAUGCAAGUCGAACGGUAGAGGAGCAAUCCUCGAGAGUGGCGAACGGGUGAGUAAUGCAUCGGAACGUGCCCAGUAAUGGGGGAUAGCCCGGCGAAAGCCGGAUUAAUACCGCAUACGACCUACGGGUGAAAGAGGGGGAUCGCAAGACCUCUCGUUAUUGGAGCGGCCGAUGUCAGAUUAGGUAGUUGGUGGGGUAAAGGCCUACCAAGCCAACGAUCUGUAGCUGGUCUGAGAGGACGACCAGCCACACUGGGACUGAGACACGGCCCAGACUCCUACGGGAGGCAGCAGUGGGGAAUUUUGGACAAUGGGCGCAAGCCUGAUCCAGCCAUGCCGCGUGCGGGAAGAAGGCCUCGGUUGUAA
rnacentral:rRNA from 1 species